UCAAGACAGUGAGGACUGGGUCUGUUAAGAGAGUAAGAAGAACAUUCUUCAUGUUUUGCUAGCCAAGCAGAAAAACCAGAAAGAAAAGAACAAUAAAUACUGGAAAUAGAUGGAAAGCUGGAGAUUUUUGCUGUAAUCUAGAUACGUUUCAUCUAACCAGGUUGGCGGCCUCAAACUUACCGUGAAGUUGAAGAUCUUGAACUACUGAUCCUCCUGAGUACAAAUUUUAAAAGAUAAUAACAUGUUCUAUGUAUCAACCAAGUUUUUAGGUUAUAUUUAUAGCCAUCUUUGACAAAACUUACUCAACUGCAGAUCUGUUUAACUCACUGAACAUAAAUUUUAUCUAAUUAAAAACAUACACCACUUUCUAAAUUUUCA